UACGGAGGAUGCAAGCGUUAUCCGGAAUGAUUGGGCGUAAAGCGUCCGCAGGUGGUUGUGUGUGUCUAUUGUCAAAGCAUCAUGCUUAACACGAUAAAGGCAGUAGAAACUACACGACUAGAGUGCGUUCGGGGCAGAGGGAAUUCCUGGUGUAGCGGUGAAAUGCGUAGAGAUCAGGAAGAACACCGGUGGCGAAAGUGCUCUGCUAGGCCGCAACUGACACUGAGGGAAGAAAGCUAGGGGAGCGAAUGGG
rnacentral:rRNA from 1 species